GGCCUGGACAACCUCGCAGAGAGCGUGGGGCGGGCAUCAGUCCUUCGGGGAAGGUGCUGGAGCACACGGGACACUUGGCGGAGAUUAGCAGCAUCGAGAGCUCAGAGGUAGGGGGGAUCCGAGUUUCUGGCAGCAUGUCUGUGGUGAGAGGUC